GGCUGAAAUUACGCCUUCAUGAAGCUGGAAUUGCUAGUAAUGGCAGGUCAGCAUACUGCCGUGAAUACGUUCCCGGGCCCUUGUACACACCGCCCGUCACACCAUGAGAGUUGGGAAUACCCGAAGCCUGUGAACUAACAGUAAUGGAGCAGCAGUCGAAGGUAGAAUCAAUGAUUGGGGUGAAGUCGUAACAAGGUACC
rnacentral:rRNA from 1 species